UUCUAUUUAUAUCACCUCAAGUUUCACAUGUCACAUACGAUGAUACCUGAGCUUAUAUUUUCACUUCCGAACUACAAUAUUGUGAAAAUUCAGUACAAGACACCGCCAAGGGUGGUAAUGCUACCAGGUGCACUAUAGGACCAAGGGUAGAUACCAUAUGUAGAUGGCAAGUUAAAAGCCAACAGUGCUUGAGCUUGAGCCAGAUUCCGGUCAAUGUAGAGAUUGCCAAACUGCUGGAGGUGUAGCUGGUGCGCUAUGGCCUGGACAACGUUAAUGUCCUGGUAGUGAGAUUGUUGCGCCACCAGCCUGAGCUGUUGCAAGACUUGGUUGUUUCUCAGUUGAAACGCAGCUGAUUGCAAGAAGGUGCUUGCCGCAAUGCUAUACUGCUGCCUUACGAACUCAUUAUAUGGGCUAAGCACCUGUUGCUGUAGCAGGAGAGGCGACUGCACCUGAUAUUGCCUAAUAUUUUGACCUAAAACAUCAAACUGCGCAGUGGCGCUGCAUGCAGCAAUAGCAAGGAGAGCAAAGACGAAAAUGAUCUUCAUUGUUGCAGGACACUAGUUCUUUUAAAUUUUUGUUGUAUAAUGCUUGAAUUGUGCGAGCGAUGAGGAGGGUUUUCAUGGAGUUUGUCCAUUUAGAGAUGCGGUGGCACGGAUUUUCUCUCGAUUCCUCAUCGGUUGCUUUAGUGUGUUAGUUUUGCUUGGAUGUCCUAUUAGGAUCUAAGUGAGUCAUGUCAUUUGGAUGUAUGUUCUAUUAGGUGCCCCAACAAAUCCGCUUUGGUGUCAUCAUGAAAGUAACUUUUCUGUCCAUCAUGAUGGUUAGCAGGCAAGAAAGAUAACGAUAUGACUCAUCGCUCACCAUUUGCGUUUGUUUCGUGAGGAUUGAAUCUUUUAUCUAGGUAUGUUUCUCACGUUUACUAAGCUAUUAUUUCACUACUGCAUGCCACGUUGAACUUUAAGGUCGCGCGGCCUCAUGCAUCUUGAAUUAUCAAAUUUCAACAGGAAUGACAAAAUUAUAGUACGACAGGUGCAUUUUAUUGUUUCGUUGAUGCGGUAGUGAAGAAUUUCUUGUAGGAAGAAUUAAGUUAGCGCUGAAGCCUAAAAUCACCAUUCGAGAUAUUUACGAGAGAUCACCAUUAUAAUUUUGCUGAAACAUGAGGUUUAUUAUCCAUUUUGUUUGCAGUGAGACUAUCUACUUUCAAUGCUAGAAUAAACUACUCAAAGCAACGAGUUUGUCAGCAAGAACAACCUCAAUGUCUUGGAGCAUUCCUUAAGUACGACAUCUCAUAAUUUUGAAUUUGGAAGAAGGGUGCAUUUUCUUUAUAGUCACUCUACAGUGAUAGAAUAAACCAAAGAACAUCACAAAUCCGUCUGUCCAGUUUUCACCCCCAUUGUUGCCGCUGCAUGUUUUGCUUCUGUACAGAAAUAAUUAUGCCUACGUUGUUGUUCCAUGAUGCAAAUUGAGCGAGAGCUCAACUCAAGAAUUUAUUAUACACUUCCUUUUUUCAAGAAUGAUGGACAACUAGAUGAUUUUCAAUUAUAAUUAAUAUCUAUAUAUGAAACUUGUUAAUGUACCAAAGUUUAAAAUUUUGAAAACCCGUCUUGAUGUCGCUUGACACAACAUAGUUGCAUUAAGUUACGUGUUUGCAUGACAUUGGCUUGUCAUAUUCACAAUGAUGUUGCAUAUGCGGCCUUUGAUAUACGCUUGUUUUAGUAGUGGAUGGAGAAUCAAAGUUGAUUGCUGCAUCUUUACGUGGUCUGUAUGGUAUACGAUUUUGUUGUGGUGGAUUUAGUAUUUGUCAUAUGUUUUUUGUGUUUGUUCUUAUUGGAAUAAAAUGAUGGACAUCCUUUAUACACUCCAUUUAUAUCUAAAAUACGAAGUAGCUUCGAAUCAAAUUUAAGCGCACAGAAAAAUUGUGGAGUACCAAUCAUGGUAAUUAGCUACGACAAUGCACUAGGAUAUAUCCUUAUAGAGGCAAGCUAUUUAAAUAUGAAAGAUAAUUUUAUUUCUAUUUAUAUCACCUCAAGUUUCACAUGUCACAUACGAUGAUACCUGAGCUUAUAUUUUCACUUCCGAACUACAAUAUUGUGAAAAUUCAGUACAAGACACCGCCAAGGGUGGUAAUGCUAUCGGGUGCACUAUAGGACCAAGGGUAGAUACCAUAUGUAGAUGGCAAGUUAAAAGCCAACAGUGCUUGAGCUUGAGCCAGAUUCCGGUCAAUGUAGAGAUUGCCAAACUGCUGGAGGUGUAGCUGGUGCGCUAUGGCCUGGACAACGUUAAUGUCCUGGUAGUGAGAUUGUUGCGCCACCAGCCUGAGCUGUUGCAAGACUUGGUUGUUUCUCAGUUGAAACGCAGCUGAUUGCAAGAAGGUGCUUGCCGCAAUGCUAUACUGCUGCCUUACGAACUCAUUAUAUGGGCUAAGCACCUGUUGCUGUAGCAGGAGAGGCGACUGCACCUGAUAUUGCCUAAUAUUUUGACCUAAAACAUCAAACUGCGCAGUGGCGCUGCAUGCAGCAAUAGCAAGGAGAGCAAAGACGAAAAUGAUCUUCAUUGUUGCAGGACACUAGUUCUUUUAAAUUUUUGUUGUAUAAUGCUUGAAUUGUGCGAGCGAUGAGGAGGGUUUUCAUGGAGUUUGUCCAUUUAUAGAUGCGCUGGCACGGAUUUUCUUUCGAUUCCUCAUCGGUUGCUUUAGUGUGUUAGUUUUGCUUGGAUGUCCUAUUAGGAUCUAGGUGAGUCAUGUCAUUUGGAUGUAUGUUCUAUUAGGUGCCCCAACAAAUCCGCUUUGGUGUCAUCAUGAAAGUAACUUUUCUGUCCAUCAUGAUGGUUAGCAGGCAAGAAAGAUAACGAUAUGACUCAUCGCUCACCUUAUGCGUUUGUUUCGUGAGGAUUGAAUCUUUUAUCUAGGGAUGUUUAUCACGUUUACUAAGCUAUUUUUUCACUACUGCAUGCCACGUUGAACUUUAAGGUCGCGCGGCCUCAUGCAUCUUGAAUUAUAAAAUUUCAACAGGAAUGACAAAAUUAUAGUACGGCAGGUGCAUUUUAUUGUUUCGUUGAUGCGGUAGUGAAGAUUUGAUUGUAGGAAGAAUUAAGUUAGCGCUGAAGCCUAAAAUCACCAUUCGAGAUAUUUACGAGAGAUCACCAAUAUAAUUUUGCUGAAACAUGAGGUUUAUUAUCCAUUUUGUUUGCAGUGAGACUAUCUACUUUCAAUGCUAGAAUAAACUACUCAAAGCAAAGAGUUUGUCAGCAAGAACAACCUCAAUGUCUUGGAGCAUUCCUUAAGUACGACAUCUCAUAAUUUUGAAUUUGGAAGAAGGGUGCAUUUUCUUUAUAGUCACUCUACAGUGACAGAAUAAACCAAAGAACAUCACAAAUCCGUCUUUCCGGUUUUCACCCCCAUUGUUGGCGCUGCAUGUUUUGCUUCUGUACAGAAAUAAUUAUGCCUACGUUGUUGUUCCAUGAUGCAAAUUGAGCGAGAGCUCAACUCAAGAAUUUAUUAUACACUUCCUUUUGUCAAGAAUGUUGGACAACUAGAUGAUUUUCAAUUGAAAUUAAUAUCUAUAUAUGAAACUAGUUAAUGUACCAAAGUUUAAAAUUUUGAAAACCCGUCUUGAUGUCGCUUGACACAACAUAGUUGCAUUAAGUUACGUGUUUGCAUGACAUUGGCUUGUCAUAUUCACAAUGAUGUUGCAUAUGCGGCCUUUGAUAUACGCUUGUUUUAGUAGUGGAUGGAGAAUCAAAGUUGAUUGCUGCAUCUUUACGUGGUCUGUAUGGUAUACGAUUUUGUUGUGGUGGAUUUAGUAUUUGUCAUAUGUUUUUUGUGUUUGUUCUUAUUGGAAUAAAAUGAUGGACAUCCUUUAUACACUCCAUUUAUAUCUAAAAUACGAAGUAGCUUCGAAUCAAAUUUAAGCGCACAGAAAAAUUGUGGAGUACCAAUCAUGGUAAUUAGCUACGACAAUGCACUAGGAUAUAUCCUUAUAGAGGCAAGCUAUUUAAAUAUGAAAGAUAAUUUUAUUUCUAUUUAUAUCACCUUAAGUUUCACAUGUCACAUACGAUGAUACCUGAGCUUAUAUUUUCACUUCCGAACUACAAUAUUGUGAAAAUUCAGUACAAGACACCGCCAAGGGUGGUAAUACUACCCGGUGCACUAUAGUACCUAGGGUAGAUACCAUAUGUAGAUGGCAAGUUAAAAGCCAACAGUGCUUGCGCUUGAGCCAGAUUCCGGUCAAUGUAGAGAUCGCCAAACUGCUGGAGGUGUAGCUGCUGCGCUAUGGCCUGGACAACGUUAAUGUCCUGGUAGUGAGAUUGUUGCGCCACCAGCCUGAGCUGUUGCAAGACUUGGUUGUUUCUCAGUUGAAACACAGCUGAUUGCAAGAAGGGGCUUGCCGCAAUGCUAUACUGCUGCCUUACGAACUCAUUAUAUAGGCUAAGCACCUGUUGCUGUAGCAGGAGAGGCGACUGCACCUGAUAUUGCCUAAUAUUUUGACCUAAAACAUCAAACUGCGCUGUGGCGCUGCAUGCAGCAAUAGCAAGGAGAGCAAAGACGAAAAUGAUCUUCAUUGUUGCAGGACACUAGUUCUUUUAAAUUUUUGUUGUAUAAUGCUUGAAUUGUGCGAGCGAUGAGGAGGGUUUUCAUGGAGUUUGUCCAUUUAUAGAUGCGCUGGCACGGAUUUUCUUUCGAUUCCUCAUCGGUUGCUUUAGUGUGUUAGUUUUGCUUGGAUGUCCUAUUAGGAUCUAAGUGAGUCAUGUCAUUUGGUUGUAUGUUCUAUUAGGUGCCCCAACAAAUCCGCUUUGGUGUCAUCAUGAAAGUAACUUUUCUGUCCAUCAUGAUGGUUAGCAGGCAAGAAAGAUAACGAUAUGACUCAUCGCUCACCUUAUGCGUUUGUUUCGUGAGGAUUGAAUCUGUUAUCUAGGUAUGUUUAUCAUGUUUACCAAGCUAUUAUUUCACUACUGCAUGCCACGUUGAACUUUAAGGUCGUGCGGCCUCAUGCAUCUUGAAUUAUAAAAUUUCAACAGGAAUGACAAAAUUAUAGUACGGCAGGUGCAUUGUAUUGUUUCUUUGAUGUGGUAAUGAAGAUUUGAUUGUAGGAAGAAUUAAGUUAGCACUGAAGUCUAAUAUCACCAUUCGAGAUAUUUACGAGAGAUCACCAUUAUAAUUUUGCUGAAACAUGAGGUUUAUUAUCCAUUUUGUUUACAGUGAGACUAUCUACUUUCAAUGCUAGAAUAAACUACUCAAAGCAACGAGUUUGUCAGCAAGAACAACCUCAAUGUCUUGGAGCAUUCCUUAAGUACGACAUCACAUAAUUUUGAAUUUGGAAGAAGGGUGUAUUUUCUUUAUAGUCACUCUACAGUGACAGAAUAAACCAAAAGAACAUCACAAAUCUGUCUUUUCGGUUUUCACCCCCAUUGUUGCCGCUGCAUGUUUUGCUUCUGUACAGAAAUAAUUAUGCCUACGUUGUUGUUCCAUGAUGCAAAUUGAGCGAGAGCUCAACUCAAGAAUUUAUUAUACACUUCCUUUUGUCAAGAAUGAUGGACAACUAGAUGAUUUUCAAUUCAAAUUAAUAUCUAUAUAUGAAACUUGUUAAUGUACCAAUGUUUAAAAUUUUGAAAACCCGUUUUGAUGUCGCUUGAAACAACAUAGUUGCAUGAAGUGAUGUGUUUGCAUGACAUUGGCUUGUCAUAUUCACAAUGAUGCUGCAUAUGCGGCCUUUGAUAUACGCUUGUUUUAGUAGUGGGACUAAAUUCAAUGGGACUAAAUUCUUUUAUUCCCUUCUAUAUUAAAUAAUCAAGAUGAGGCAGCAGUGCAAAAUUGAGCCGAAUUUUAGGAAAAUAGGGUUCACCAAGUCGAGUUCACACCGCGUUUCUCUUGCGCAAACUCCACUUGCUGGGGGGCAUUUGUUUGACGGUAUUUUGUGAUCUUAUAAAUCCAAGGAUUAUUUGUAUUAUCAAGACAAGCAAACAAAAGAGCAGCUAUGAUCGUCGCAUUCAUUAAUAUGUGACUCUGUAUAUAGCUUGCUCAAUUGCAUGGGAUGCAUGAGCCAUGCACGUACUGGCAUAUGUAUGUCCUCCUAUAUGGCUAUACAUGGGUACAUGUGUUCAGCCAUAUAUACAUGCUUAGCUAAUCUAUACGUAAGCAUGCAUGCACAAGGAGACCUAAGUGACAUGUGAGCAGCUCAUAAACGAGCGCUCGUGACUAUAUAUGUAUUCACCGUACGUGCAUGUAUACGUACAGAAAUACCGGGUGGUUUCUAUGAGUUAAGAAGCAACAUCUAGCUACACGGUUGAAAUGUGAAGCUGCACGUGGGCCGGCAGCCCAUAGACACAUUGCGUUUUCAUCGUAUAUAUGCGAUUGUAUCAGAAUACAUGCGUACGCGGGAUUUCUCAACUGCAAGCUACUGAUGUGCGCGGCUAGCGCCGGAUAAACCCAACCAACAAACUUCGUCUUAUCCAGGUGAUUCGAAUUAGCGUGAUCUGCAGCAACGUCGCCCGGAGGUAUCGGAACAAACACGUGCAGCCACGUCGGCGCCGGAGUAUGCGCGCCCGUCCGUUAGGUUUUCCCAGCGCUUAUAAAAGCCAACGAGAGCUAACCAGCCAGGGCAUGGAGAAUCAUUCAUAAAACACACAUCCAUCCAUCCACACAUAUGUAGAACAAGAACACAAAGCAGAAGGGCACGCCAACGCGUGCGCUGACGGCCGGCGGCAGCCAACAGGCGCUCUGCCAAGAGACGGCGCCAGGCGAUCGACAUUCGUCCAGCCAUCCCUCUGCCCGGUGAGAAGACACGGCGCGCCAGCCGGCGGCUGUGGGCAGAAUGAGGAGGAGAGAAGCAGUACACGGACAUGGUCUCAUCUACACCAGCACACCGGCGGCGAGUACAGCUCCGUCCUUUUCUUUGUUUCUCUUUCGUUUUGCAGAUUGAUCAUGGAGGAGGAACAUGGAUGUAGAACCACAAGAAGAGAUCGAUCCAUCCACUCAUACAUAGAUCACAUGAGGGAACACACAGAGGCCUCGGCGGAAGGGUACGCCGGCGAGGGUACAGGCAGCCACCCAAUAGACGGCGCUAGGCGAUCGACAUCCAUGCAUCGAGAUCCAUCCGACUCCCAUCAAGAUUCAUCCACAGCUACUUCGCCGGAGCAGGAGAGCACGCCGCCGGUAGCGCUCGGCGCCGGUGUCCAGCAGAAGGACGUUGGAGGAAGGAGAGCAACCUGAACUUGGCCAAUCAACAAGCACGAGAAUUAGAUCAAUGGCUGCCCAAGGUAAAGGCUAACCAAAUAUCGUUCCUUUCCUGUUUUAUCUGCAGCACACAUGCAUGCAUGAGGAUAUUUCUACACACGGCGGGUCAGUGCGUGGUGCAUCGUCGUCGCUAGAGUUGUUGAGCCGACCCAUCUAUGGGCGCCACCUAUAAGCUUCGUCACGUCGGAGUUGAUGACAUGCCGUUCGUCCGCGAUACCUUCGCCUUCAUCACACGGCAGUCGCAGACGCCGUCGAGCCACCCACGUCCACAACUAGGCUGCUGCCUCACCAGAAAUGCUGUUUCGGGCACUAUUCACGCCAUCCCGCGAAGAUCGCGAGAGCUGCCAUGGGCGUUUGCCAAGGCGCUGCCGGCCGAGCGGUGGUCAUCCUCGCCAACUGAUCACCACCUGCCGAAGAUGGUCAUCCCCACGUCGCACUGAUGGAGCGUUGGGAAUAGUCGGAGCAGCCGCGGGCAUCAUCAAGCCAUCCCUAAUCCGCCAGGAGGUCUUGUCAGAUCCAAGGCGAAUGCCAUCAUGCUGCCCGCAUCCAUGAAUGUCGCCGAGUCGCCGAGGCGCUGCCAAGCAGUGCUUGUACCCGCCAAUCGAUCAUCUAUCGGGGAAAGCCGUCGUCCUCUCGCCGCCCUGCCGGAGCGCGCCGAAGAUUGCCGGAGCCACCGCCGAUUGCCAUGAUUUCUCCUGCUUCUAUGUCGGAGGUCAAGCAUCAUGCAUGGCGUCGACAACUAUGGCUGCAGCAACUGAGAGUGAGGGCGACAGCGACAGGAUGACGACGAACCGAUGCUGUUGAACGCCAUGGCAACAAGCUAGCAAAUGCACGCUAAUUAAGCUAAUUAUUGUGGCAACGUGGCCGACCAACUGGAGGGUGACACAUCAUCACCAUGCUUCAGUGCUAUGCACAAGAAGAAGUCGUCAACGCGAUGGCUAAACAAAUCCUGUUGAUUUCAAGCUUUCUCAAUUAGAUACCGAGCUGUGAUUAAAUCCGGCUGCCGUCUAUAUCGUCCAACUCGUCGGCGACACUCUAACGCUCGCCAUCCCUGCUCAAGCUACCGGUGAUGCCGUCUACCGGAUGCCGCCACGUCGUCGAGAUACACCAACGCCCCCAUCUCGCCAACUGCGGCUUCUCUUCCGUAAUGUGCGCCGUACCCUCGCCGGCGAUCGUCGGAGCAGCCACUAGUGUCGCCCGAGCUGUUUCUGAUCCAGGAGAUGGUGGCAGUCGCCGGGAUGCUCCUCGAGGAGCCGUCGACACAUGCCACCCUGCUGGGACACACUGAAGGUCCCCAGAGCAGCCGCGGACACCGUCGAGGUGCUCGUACACCGUCGUCAAGUCCAGCUGUGAUUCUUUCACUUCAUCACGGCGGAGUUGUCAUGUCGACUGAUCUGUUGGCGCUGAUCGCAAGCCUCCGUCAAGAUCGAUGCCACUCGUCCUCAGGACUGAUGCAAUCUGUUCGAGCUGCGGUGAUGAUUCUACUCGUUGCGAUCUCGCCGAGACGUUAAACGUCGUCGCCUUUUGCCGACCGCUGCCUCGCAACACCGUCAAUAUCUACCCACCCUCGCCACCGUUGCAAUCUUGGUGCCCACAAGCCGUCGUCAAGUCUGGCUGUGCUUCCUUCUCUUCAUCAGGCCGAGGUCGUCGUGCUGUCUGUCCACGAUGCCUUCUCUUUGUCACGUCGGAGCGUCAAAGUUCAGUGCCCCUACAUCAUCGUUGAGCCGUUCGUGAUGCCGUCUGGCCAUCCCUUCGUCACGUCGGAGCGCCACUGCUUGGUUCCCGUGCAUCGUCAUCAAGCUGAGGUCGUCGUUUCGUCCAUCCACAAUGUCUUUCUCUCCGCCGCGCCAAGGCUACGAGAUGCCAUCCGGCCGCGAUGCCCUUCACCUCGUCAAGUUGGAGUCGUCGUUCUGUCAUCACGCCAAGAUGAGAUACCGCCUGUCCGUGAUGCUCUCCCUCUUCGUGGAGAUUAAUGGUGUCGCACAUCCGCGUAUUGGAGCAUCGCUCAUCUACGUCAACCUGAAGAAAGAAUGGUGUCAUCUGUGAUGCCAGGAAACCAUUCGUGCUGAAUCUACUCCAACAAAUGCCCUUAGCCGUUCCGCCGACGAGGCAUUUACUUCUUCCAAGGUCGCUGUCAUUACCGGCGCCCUCAUAGAGCCCCUUUUACGGGCUCGUUAUCAUAUCAACUGGAUCAAUAGUAGAUCCAUCAUCUGAAGGAGGUGCUAAGCCAUGUUUGUCCGGCUGUCGUCUACACUGAUUUCUUCAUCAUCUUCAUUACAAGUCCCUGUUGUAUAAAGGGCAUGACAAGUUGGGAGGUGCCUAACCAUGUGUAAUUCGGCUGUCGUCUACACCAACUAUCUUCGUCAACUCUUCAUUACUUUGAUCUCAUCUAGCCAGAAGGUGCCCAACCAUGUAUAUUCGGCUAUUGUGUACACCAACUGACUUCACCAGCUCCUCUUCCCUUUAACACCAUUCUGAUGCCGUUGCUAUGACUUCUCUACCGUCCAAGCUACGCGAGUUCCAUGCAUGCUGAAGAUCACUAUAUCUACACCACCACGUCACUCAAGACAGAUGAGGCGGAGCGACGAGGGCAGGCGGAGUAUAAAUAAAGGCUAUGUCUCCAACACCGGCGCACGGACCGACGAGGCCGUGGAUCGCUGUCGGCGCCCACACACACAUCCACCAUCUUCACCAACAUUCAUCAUGCAUGGAGAACGUAAAGCGAAGACGACGAGACGACCACAAGCAGCUUAAUCGGAGGUUCUCCUGUAGGCCUAUACCUACAGGUAAUUAACUGGGAGCUUCUUGAGGCCCUAGGAACCAGAAGACCACAUCGCUGAUGUCAGAUCUGUCCAACGACAGGCAAAGGCACGCACAUUUUAUAUUAUACAUAGAAACUGUAUCUUGUUAAUUCAAUUAAUAAAGAUCACGUUUUUGUGUCUCUUUUGUGUUUGAUUUACAUUUUGUAUCUAGGUACACUGGCACGCCCGCACUAAUUUUCUUUCUAAACAUAGAGGGAUAUAUAUUCGUAUUUUUUCUAUCCUAAACAAUCACCAUUCGAGAUAUUUACGAGAGAUCACCAUUAUAAUUUUGCUGAAACAUGAGGUUUAUUAUCCAUUUGGUUUACAGUGAGACUAUCUACUUUCAAUGCUAGAAUAAACUACUCAAAGCAACGAGUUUGUCAACAAGAACAACCUCAAUGUCUUGGAGCAUUCCUUAAGUACGACAUCUCAUAAUUUUUAAUUUGGAAGAAGCGUGCAUUUUCUUUAUAGUCACUCUACAGUGACUGAAUAAACUAAAGAACAUCACAAAUCCGUCUUUCCUAUUUUUACCCCUAUUGUUGCCGCUGCAUGUUUUGCUUCUGUACAGAAAUAAUUAUGCCUACGUUGUUGUUCCAUGAUGCAAAUUGAGCGAGAGCUCAACUCAAGAAUUUAUUAUACACUUCCUUUUGUCAAGAAUGAUGGACAACUAGAUGAUUUUCAAUUGAAAUUAAUAUCUAUAUAUGAAACUAGUUAAUGUACCAAAGUUUAAAAUUUUGAAAACCCGUCUUGAUGUCGCUUGACACAACAUAGUUGCAUGAAGUUACGUGUUUGCAUGACAUUGGCUUGUCAUAUUCACAAUGAUGCUGCAUAUGCGGCCUUUGAUAUACGCUUGUUUUAGUAGUGGAUGGAGAAUCAAAGUUGAUUGCUGCAUCUUUACGUGGUCUGUAUGGUAUACGAUUUUGUUGUGGUGGAUUUAGUAUUUGUCAUAUGUUUUUUGUGUUUGUUCUUAUUGGAAUAAAAUGAUGGACAUCCUUUAUACACUCCAUUUAUAUCUAAAAUACAAAGUAGCUUCGAAUCAAAUUUAAGCGCACAGAAAAAUUGUGGAGUACCAAUCAUGGUAAUUAGCUACGACAAUGCACUAGGAUAUAUCCUUAUAGAGGCAAGCUAUUUAAAUAUGAAAGAUAAUUUUAUUUCUAUUUAUAUCACCUUAAGUUUCACAUGUCACAUACGAUGAUACCUGAGCUUAUAUUUUCACUUCCGAACUACAAUAUUGUGAAAAUUCAGUACAAGACACCGCCAAGGGUGGUAAUGCUACCGGGUGCACUAUAGUACCUAGGGUAGAUACCAUAUGUAGAUGGCAAGUUAAAAGCCAACAGUGCUUGAGCUUGAGCCAGAUUCCGGUCAAUGUAGAGAUCGCCAAACUGCUGUAGGUGUAGCUGCUGCGCUAUGGCCUGGACAACGUUAAUGUCCUGGUAGUGAGAUUGUUGCGCCACCAGCCUGAGCUGUUGCAAGACUUGGUUGUUUCUCACUUGAAACACAGCUGAUUGCAAGAAGGGGCUUGCCGCAAUGCUAUACUGCUGCCUUACGAACUCAUUAUAUAGGCUAAGCACCUGUUGCUGUAGCAGGAGAGGCGACUGCACCUGAUAUUGCCUAAUAUUUUGACCUAAAACAUCAAACUGCGCAGUGGCGCUGCAUGCAGCAAUAGCAAGGAGAGCAAAGACGAAAAUGAUCUUCAUUGUUGCAGGACACUAGUUCUUUUAAAUUUUUGUUGUAUAAUGCUUGAAUUGUGCGAGCGAUAAGGAGGGUUUUCAUGGAG
rnacentral:lncRNA from 1 species